rnacentral:rRNA from 1 species
AUGCGAGGUCUGCUAGAGUUGCUCUUAGCUUUGGUGGCCGAUCUCUUCACUCCAACAUCUGGAAGUUGCGGCGGAUUGCAAGGAAGUGACGAAGGACAUCAAGGACGGAACAGGUGGGCUACGUGGGAAUAUUAUCCGGGAGAUUACAUCUUCACUUUCGGAGUUUCUUUUUCACUUUCGGAGUUUCAGUCCUGCACUUUCUCCUUCGAAGCGAUGGCAACAAAUUCCGAGGCACACGGCCUCACUAACAUGCUCUUGGACUUACUAGGAAAGACAUAUUUGGCUGUUGCAGCCUCCUGCUAUUGGUUGCAUUAA